GUCAGAGCUUCUGUCGUUUUAUAUCAAGGGGAUGUUAAGGGGGUGCGAGUGCCGUAGCUGUUUCGGGAUUCGCGGUCGCCAGAAGGGGGUGCCGGUUGGGCGGGGUGUCGGACUCGGAAUAUAACCGACGUGCGGUCAGGUAUGCAGGUUUUUAUACACACCGAUCCAACAGGUAUUCUGUGCGUGCAACGCGGAGCAACAAAUACGAAACAGCGAUCGGAGGUUAAAAGCCCCUCCGGACAUACGCGAAAUCCUUAACAACCCGGAGACUUUUCAUGGGACAGUAACGAGGAUAUAGCGAAAAGCCGUGGAUGGGUUCUUUGAAUGUUCAAGGCCCCCGAGGGAAGUCCAAGCUCGAGGCAGGGUUGUAAAGUCUGGUAAUCCUUCUUGUACAUCUCUCUGUUGCUCACCUGGC